rnacentral:lncRNA from 1 species
CAGGGUUGCGGGGCGGCCAGACACCCCCUGACGACUCCCUCCGCCCAGAUGGAGCGGGUGGUCGUGAGCAUGCAGGACCCCGACCAGGGCGUGAAGAUGCGGAGCCAGCGCCUGCUGGUCACCGUCAUUCCCCACGCGGUGACAGGCAGCGACGUCGUGCAGUGGUUGGCCCAGAAGUUCUGCGUCUCGGAGGAGGGUGAGCGCCCUGCCUCCCACUGGGCCCUGGGGUCACUGGGCUGGUGGCCUAGGCCUGGGUUUUCCUGGAGUCUGGCAGUUCUCAGAGCCCUGCUGAGCGCGCUGUGCAAGGGUGGGGAGCACAUAGGGGAGAGGAGGC